GUGGACACCCCUGUUAACUGCUGAGUUCAGAUGCAUCAGCUGCUCUCAUUGUUAACAGCCUGGUGCAGAAAAGCAGCAAAUAGCCAUGCCAACUCCACUGACCCACACUGGCAGUAGAAUGGACUGUAGUGAAGCGUGCAGAGACCUUCAACACGGAACUGGCAUAGGACGCCACCUUUACAACAAGUCAGAAACUGGUACAUGACCCAAUACUAAGAAUGACCAUCUGCAGAACAAGAUGCUGAAUUUACCUGCCAAACUGAAUGUGAACGGAGUGGAGCUGACAUGAGCCUGUGUGUCACUCUUAACACAGCAGUGAGCCCUUCCAUCAGUAGUGGUCGAGUGCUCACUUGUUGGCGUACCUAAUUAGAAUCUGAAGAAUGACAAAAGAUGGAGUUAGCAUGGUAGCACAAAUAAGGUCCUUCAUGGAGUAUGUGAGCCCCUGCUGUGUUUUUCAGGGAGCUGGCUGGAAGGGGGUCAACUGACCCUUUAAAAGAGGACCAUAGGUUGGUAAGAGAGGUAUAGGAAGAGAGCCCCUGGAAUUCCAGUGGGUAUUCAUGAUCUCCGCAGUUAUUAUGGCAUUAGCUCAGAAGUAGGCCCUUGCUGGGGCUUAAUGGCUCCUUGAACAUGGAGUUGGGGAGUAAAUGAAGACAAGAGUUCAACUGGAAGGAGGAUGUAAGGCCACAGGGUCAAAGGGGAAAGUCCACUGAGACACCUUGGUGGGAAAUUGCCCUGCUGCUCUUCCACUAUGGAUGGCACAACUGUUUUGGGCCUGGAGGCCCAGAGAGGUUUCAGGAUUUCUUGUGUGUCUGUGCAUUUUUUUUUGUUUCUCCUAAUAUUCAGUCUUCCAUUGUGUACUUUAUUUGUACUGACUUUCUUUUUAGAAGCUUGGCAUCCUUUGCAUUCAUUCUCAGCUAUGGCACCAGACUGCUCCCUGU